rnacentral:misc_RNA from 1 species
CAGAGUUCAUGCCCUCCGGGUAGAUCUCCCACCCAUUGCUAUAACUACUCUCGUUGCUUUGGCGGGCCGCUGGGCCCUGCCCGGCCGCCGGCCCCGGCUGGCGCGUGCCCGCCAGAGACCUCACAGACUCUGAAUGUUAGUGUCCGAGUAACUAUACAAUCGUUA